rnacentral:lncRNA from 1 species
UCCCUCUUUGCUCUCACAAUCAGCAAGAUCCAAUGAUGGCUGCCUAAAAUUAAUAUAAAAAUGACGGUUAUUUACAAAAACGACGUAUUAUAAUAUUUCACACGACGAAAUAAAGUAGCAAUCGACGACAUUAUAUAUUUAUCACGACGAUAAAUAACUACCGACGUGGUUAGUAGUUUCAAACGACUCAAUAAAAUAAA